rnacentral:rRNA from 1 species
CCUACGGGAGGCAGCAGUGGGGGAAUCUUGCGCAAUGGGCGAAAGCCUGACGCAGCCAUGCCGCGUGAAUGAUGAAGGUCUUAGGAUUGUAAAAUUCUUUCACCGGGGACGAUAAUGACGGUACCCGGAGAAGAAGCCCCGGCUAACUUCGUGCCAGCAGCCGCGGUAAUACGAAGGGGGCUAGCGUUGCUCGGAAUUACUGGGCGUAAAGGGAGCGUAGGCGGAUAGUUUAGUCAGAGGUGAAAGCCCAGGGCUCAACCUUGGAAUUGCCUUUGAAUACUGGCUAUCUUGAGUACGGAAGAGGUAUGUGGAACUCCGAGUGUAGAGGUGAAAUUCGUAGAUAUUCGGAAGAACACCAGUGGCGAAGGCGACAUACUGGUCCGUUACUGACGCUGAGGCUCGAAAGCGUGGGGAGCAAACAGGAUUAGAUACCCUGGUAAGUCCACGCUGUAAACGAUGAGUGCUAGUUGUCGGCAUGNAUNCAUGUCGGUGGACGCAGCUAACGACAUAAGUACACUCCGCCGUCGGGGAGGUACGGUCGGCGAAGAAGUUAAAACGUUAACGAAAGGAAAGUUAGUACGGACGUUGAGACGUUGCCGAACGGACGACGACGAGGGGAGGAGGAG